GGAGAGAUGGCUGAGUGGUUGAAGGCGACGGUCUUGAAAACCGUUGAAUCCGAAAGGGUUCCGUGGGUUCGAAUCCCACUCUCUCCG
rnacentral:tRNA from 1 species